CUCCAGACAUUUAUUUUUUGAGUGGAGAGGAGGCCAGAGCACACACAGGACAGCAAAGCAGAGAAAUUAACAGGAUGCUUAGAGAACUAAUAGUGUCAGGUGGAAUUACCCCUGAUUUUGUUACCAGAUAAAAAGUGGCCAAAUCAAUUAAACAGCCAUCAAACCAUCCAGUGCCUGGCUGGCCUCAGUGACUGUAGUUUGCAUGAAAUCCAGUUUUGAAUGCACAGACAUCACUCUUGUUAAGAUCAUUCACCAAGUUAGUGCAAUCUGGAGCUCCUGUUGUCCCUCUUAAGAACCAGACUAACAAUUAAAUAGCACCAAAGACUUUUCUACCCAGGCAUCAUCCCAUUAGUUCGGUUUUUGGAUUUGAGUCCUUUCUAAAAAUUCUGGAAGAUGCCUACAUUUUGAUGCUACACAUUUCCUCCUGAAAGGAGAGAUGGGGAUUUGCAGGUGCACAUUGUGUGUACAUGUCAGCGAGAGAGAGGCGGCUGGUUCAUGGCACAGGUGUCUGUGCAACGCAGCAAACAGCUCAGGUUGGUGGAAUCAAAUUACAUUCAGCAUUGUGCAGCGCAAAUGAGCUUUCUUUUUUUGGCAAGUGAGAGGUUUUUUAAGUGGGAUUUUUUUUUUUUGGAAGCCAAGGCAGCAGGCUGUGUGAGGACAGGCUGAAAAAGGGAUGUGAGGUGCAGGCGGCAGCUGCAUCUGUACUGUUGUCAUUGCUCAGCCUUUCACCCUGCAUGUGCUUACUACAUUGUAAAAAUAAUUGUAAAAUAGUAACAAUUUCUUCCAUCUCUCUUCCCCUGUGAAAUGCUGAGUGACUGGAGUCAAAAGUAGCGUCUGGAGAGCAAUCAUUUCUGUGGUCAAGGAGAAGAAAGGAAGAUAAGACCCAGAAAAACAUCGAUGAAGGAGAAUUAUCCUUAUUUCACCUUGGUGUUAACAAAAGCCUUAACAAGCCUGGAGCCUGAGUGCAGAAAAUGUGCUGUCUCGUCACUCCCCAUUUGUUGUGAUACUGGCUGUGUGUGAUGAGAACAAGGGAGGUUCCCAUUUGGAGUGGCUCCUGGAUAUCUCACCACAUCUCUCUGAAGGAACAGCUGCCUCCUCCAUCCCCUCUCAUGACGAUAAUUCAGCAGUCACCAACUUUCACCCAGUGUCAAAGGCAGAUAUGGAAGAUAGAAAAAUGAAAAACUCUGGGCAGAAGUCAUUCCCAAAAAGAGCCUUAUAGAGUAACCAGUCUUCCAUCUGGAUAUGUUGUAACAUGAAAGUAUUAUGCUGCAAAAUUUGAAUUUGUACUUAUAAUUGUUUUGAUGUCAUACCAUCAGAAUAAAAGAAUA